rnacentral:rRNA from 1 species
CAGCCGCCGCGGUAAUACGGAGGGUGCAAGCGUUAAUCGGAAUUACUGGGCGUAAAGCGCACGCAGGCGGUCUGACAAGUCAGAUGUGAAAUCCCCGGGCUUAACCUGGGAACUGCAUUUGAAACUGUCAGGCUGGAGUCUUGUAGAGGGGGGUAGAAUUCCAGGUGUAGCGGUGAAAUGCGUAGAGAUCUGGAGGAAUACCGGUGGCGAAGGCGGCCCCCUGGACAAAGACUGACGCUCAGGUGCGAAAGCGUGGGGAGCAAACAGGAUUAGAUACCCGUGUAGUCCCUGUCUCUUAUAU